GUCGAACGCUGGCGGCGUGCUUAACACAUGCAAGUCGAACGCUGAAGCUUGGUGCUUGCACUGGGUGGAUGAGUGGCGAACGGGUGAGUAAUACGUGAGUAACCUGCCCUUGACUCUGGGAUAAGCCUGGGAAACUGGGUCUAAUACUGGAUACGAGAUGUCACCGCAUGGUGGUUUGUGGAAAGGGAUUUACUGGUAUUGGAUGGGCUCACGGCCUAUCAGCUUGUUGGUGGGGUAAUGGCACACCAAGGCGACGACGGGUAGCCGGCCUGAGAGGGUGACCGGCCACACUGGGACUGAGACACGGCCCAGACUCCAACGGGAGGCAGCAGUGGGGAAUAUUGCACACUGAGCGGAAGCCUGAUGCAGCGACGCCGCGUGAGGGAUGACGGCCUUCGGGUUAUAAACCUCUUUCAGCUCGGAAGAAGCUAAAGUGACGGUACGUGCAGAAGAAGCGCCGGCUAACUACGUG
rnacentral:rRNA from 1 species